rnacentral:lncRNA from 1 species
CUUUUGAUUCUAUCUCCAAGAAAGCAAGAAGUCGCACAAUGAAGAGGAGUGCGUUUUUGAGAUAUCAGAGUAUCUCUUUUAUAGAAGAGUAGAUUGAGACUUUUGGAGCUAGCAAUAGAACUAGGAAAUUGAAGAGUUGGACCCAUACUAUAUCUAUAUUCGAACUCGAUAAGAACAAUUUAAGUUCAAAUUUUGAUUGAAUCCAUAAAAAUAAGUAAAUUUCAUAAUUCACACCCA